GACGAACGCUGGCGGCGUGCCUAAUACAUGCAAGUAGAACGCUGAAGAGAGGAGCUUGCUCUUCUUGGAUGAGUUGCGAACGGGUGAGUAACGCGUAGGUAACCUGCCUUGUAGCGGGGGAUAACUAUUGGAAACGAUAGCUAAUACCGCAUAACAAUGGAUGACACAUGUCAUUUAUUUGAAAGGGGCAAUUGCUCCACUACAAGAUGGACCUGCGUUGUAUUAGCUAGUAGGUGAGGUAACGGCUCACCUAGGCGACGAUACAUAGCCGACCUGAGAGGGUGAUCGGCCACACUGGGACUGAGACACGGCCCAGACUCCUACGGGAGGCAGCAGUAGGGAAUCUUCGGCAAUGGGGGCAACCCUGACCGAGCAACGCCGCGUGAGUGAAGAAGGUUUUCGGAUCGUAAAGCUCUGUUGUAAGUCAAGAACGAGUGUGAGAGUGGAAAGUUCACACUGUGACGGUAGCUUACCAGAAAGGGACGGCUAACUACGUGCCAGCAGCCGCGGUAAUACGUAGGUCCCGAGCGUUGUCCGGAUUUAUUGGGCGUAAAGCGAGCGCAGGCGGUUUGAUAAGUCUGAAGUUAAAGGCUGUGGCUCAACCAUAGUUCGCUUUGGAAACUGUCAAACUUGAGUGCAGAAGGGGAGAGUGGAAUUCCAUGUGUAGCGGUGAAAUGCGUAGAUAUAUGGAGGAACACCGGUGGCGAAAGCGGCUCUCUGGUCUGUAACUGACGCUGAGGCUCGAAAGCGUGGGGAGCGAACAGGAUUAGAUACCCUGGUAGUCCACGCCGUAAACGAUGAGUGCUAGGUGUUGGAUCCUUUCCGGGAUUCAGUGCCGCAGCUAGCGCAUUAAGCACUCCGCCUGGGGAGUACGACCGCAAGGUUGAAACUCAAAGGAAUUGACGGGGGCCCGCACAAGCGGUGGAGCAUGUGGUUUAAUUCGAAGCAACGCGAAGAGCCUUACCAGGUCUUGACAUCCCGAUGCUAUUUCUAGAGAUAGAAAGUUACUUCGGUACAUCGGUGACAGGUGGUGCAUGGUUGUCGUCAGCUCGUGUCGUGAGAUGUUGGGUUAAGUCCCGCAACGAGCGCAACCCCUAUUGUUAGUUGCCAUCAUUCAGUUGGGCACUCUAGCGAGACUGCCGGUAAUAAACCGGAGGAAGGUGGGGAUGACGUCAAAUCAUCAUGCCCCUUAUGACCUGGGCUACACACGUGCUACAAUGGUUGGUACAACGAGUUGCGAGUCGGUGACGGCAAGCUAAUCUCUUAAAGCCAAUCUCAGUUCGGAUUGUAGGCUGCAACUCGCCUACAUGAAGUCGGAAUCGCUAGUAAUCGCGGAUCAGCACGCCGCGGUGAAUACGUUCCCGGGCCU
rnacentral:rRNA from 1 species